UGAGAAGCCUGCUGGAAAGGGAUGGUCCAGGAAAACUUGCAGAUCUUAGGCGACCUGAUGAAGGAAGGAUACAGCGCUGUGAUUCAACAUGGGAGCGCAGGGAGGGGACACUGGUUGGAGAGACAGACCUUGAGUCUUAAAUGGCCUCUGUGUUGAAGGCUGGCCUCCCAUGGAUAUGGUCAGCUAGAGGAGACCUUUCAAGGCCAAGACUCUACGAAAAUGCUGGUGACCCUGAGAUGAAUGAGCCACUAGUCUUGCCCUCAGCAAGCUCCCAGGAUUUAGAGAUGGUCCCACAGCGUCACUCAAGGCCUCUGGAUACAAAGGCGCCCUGCUGGGUGGUUUUCAGCAGGAACCCCGUGAUCAAAUUAAAAGCUCGACCACCAGGAAGUGAGGACUCAGGACGAACCCAGGGGCAUGAAUGUGCUGCAUCAUUCCCAGCCAGAGGAGGAAAGUGAAGUUUCCCCCUGCAGGACCGCUAGCCCGCCUCAUCCACAAGCAACCUCUUCCUGUGAAACAAAAGCAGAGACAAACUGAGGGAAGCAAGGAGAAGUUUAAUGAAGGAAAAAUAAGGAAACCUCAGGGGUUCGCCACUGCUCAUUGAUUUCUAGGUAUUGGCUGGCUUCUGGCCUCCAAGGAACACAGAAAGGGUCCUAGCGGAUGGAGUGAGCAGGCAAGUUUGGGGGACCCUAAAUGCACAAGUGAUGGGACUUGGCACUGACUUGCUCCGUGAACCAGUAGCUCCGACAGGUGCCACAGGCAGGAGUGGUUGCAGCGGAAAAGGAGCGGCCAGCCAGAGAGGCACCUGCGGAGACUCACACCGUGGGGAAGGUCCGGACAGGGUCUUCUCUGUGCAGACGCAGCGCCGGCCCGUGGGAGGAGGAGCUGCCCAUGCCCCACGCUGCGUGUCCACGUCAAUGUGUCAACGUCAAGUCCGCACGUCCUGUCAACGUCCUCACGUCCACGUUCUUGUCUCCGCAUCUGCGCCGAGAGCCGCCCCCCGUAGUGCGUUGGUGCAGGAGGGCAGGGUCGGGCCUUUCUGAGGCUUUUACCUAUCCCUAAGGGGAGGGCGGCCACUGCGGAGGUGCGAGCUGGGUGGAAGCCAGGCUGGGGUCGGCGCGCCCCCCAGCCCCGCCGUGGGCUGGGAUCCUUCCGCGAGUUCCCACGUGGCUUCGGAACCCUAAGGCUCCCGGCCUGCGGGUCUGCCACUCGCCGGCUGUGUCGCUUUGGAAAAGUUGCCUGAACCUUUUUGUGUACUCCAGUCUCCUCUGUCACAUAGUGACUCCGAGUCCCGGCCUGACAGGAUGACUAUGAAGUUUAAACGAGGUAAUAAGUGCUGAAGCUUGUUUUGAACAGGUUUUAUUUAUUUAUUUAAAUUUAUUUAGAAGUAUCUUUAAAAGUUUUGGAAUACACUCUGAAAAGAGUAUCUGACCUGAGUAUCCUCGGGUGCCUGGCAUUGCAGGGUGGGGUGAGGGAGAGUGGUCACGAAUGGCCAUCAGGGGUUGUUGACGUCCCCCACCCCUUCAAAACGGCAAAGCUUGGAGUCUUUGGGUACAGUGUUUCCUCUGCCAGGGAGACGGUCUCCGGACUAAGCUGCUCAGAGGGGUUGUGACUCAAGAGUGGAUGCCUUGGGGAUUUCAAGUGACUUUUGGUUGGGAGUUUUUUAGCCUCUGAAAUACACUUGGGGCGGGAUUGUUCUUUGUCGCGGUGGGCAGCGUGCCGCCCUGUGCAUUGUAGGAUGACUAGCAGCGUCCCUAGCCCUCCCCACGAGAUGCUAGUAGCAUCCCCUCCAGUUUGUGACAAUCAAAAAUGCCUCCAGACGUUGCCAGAUAUCCUCAGGGAGGAGAGAUGGGGACAGGAUUGCCUCUGGUUGAGAACUACUGCUUUGCAACAUUCUCUGUGGAGUGAGCCCUCAGAACGUGGCUGCUAGGUGCUCUUGCAAGAUUAUUUUUCUGAACCUUGGUGGUCUCUGCCCACUUCUCCUGUGCACCGUCUGGAGGGUCCAAUGAAGACACGGCAAAAAUGUCUUCAAAGGCGACGGACACAGACUUUUUAAACCCUAGCCCUUUUAGAUGUGAAUUACUGGUUCCUAAAUCUGGUUGGGUAUCGGCAUGGGCUGGAACUCGGUUUUUAUUGUAUUUCUUUUUACUCAAAUCCAAAGGGUUUUUAUUAGAGCAUUAUAGGUAGUGCUCUAAAUCCCUAAGUCCUUUACUAUUAAAAUAAUUCUGUGGGGAAUAAGGUCUUGAGAUAACCUUGUGUAAUGAAGUGGGAGUUGCUUAUUCAGGUGAGAGACCAGAGGAGAAGGGUUUUAAGGAGAAGGCCCAGCAAGGAAGAGAUGUGGAAGAUGGAAUUGGAAGCAUUUGAGGUCUCCACUAUUUAGGAGGUGAUGUAAAAGCGCCAUGUACUUGCGGUCAUGCUGGGGCAUCCUGGAUGUCAUGAGGAUCUUUGGCCUUUUUUUUUUAAUGAUGAUUUGUCCUCCGUAGUCGAAUCAGGCUUUCUUUUUCUUGCUUAAUUCUUUGUAUAGCUACUCCAGCACUUCCCCAGGAAUUCCAAACCCCAGGAUGUGUUGCUGCUCAGGAGUGAGGAAUGUUCCUCCAGGCUUUGCAAGUUUUUUGUUUGAAUGCUCAUGUGAGGCCUGGUUCGGGCAGUCCUUCAGUUGUAGGUCUGCCAGCCUGCUAUUCCCUCAUUGUGGGACUGUGAUGUCUGGUACCAGGCAGCAGAAGCAAGUUUUGGAAAUGCUCAGGGCGCAGCAGGGAGCCCCUCAGGUGCAGGACUGAGUGCCGGUUUUUGCCUUGAGUCGCUUCUGCACUCUGUGGGAUUUGGGGAUUUUGACAAAGACCCCAGGCGUAAGAACUGGCAUCAAGUCAGGCUCUGGGAGGUGCGUGUCCGUAGCGUUGAGUGUGGCCAUUUGAGUCGCUCUUCCCAUUGUGUGUACCUGGAUGGUCGUCUGCAGAGCUGUCCCUGUGAGUUCGAUAAUGAAGAUUCCAGCCAGCGCCUUGUGACGUCACGGCCGUGGUGCGACAGAUGUCAUGUACAUGGAGGUACAUUGGGAAAGACGCACCCUGGCAACAUUGCUGGGUGCUUUAAAGCAUGGAGGUGGUUCUCUGCGGAGCGAAUAUGGCCAUUAUCAUGGAGUCUCUAAAGAUGCCACUGGGAUGUUGAGGGCUGCGUGUUAUAGACCAAGUCGAGGUUGCGGCUCAUCCCAGAUGUGUAGGUUCAGAGAUUCUGGUUUCCCAUGUGAGAGGUAGCCAUGAAGCCAGGGCUAUCAGUCUUGGCGUUAAUUGCAGACGACACCUCUUCACGCUGGUCAGACUGCGCCAAGGAUUGUGCUGUGAAUAGUUACAAGAGUGUGGAGCCCUGUGAUUUGCUCUGUAGACAGCAGAGCCAAUGGUGGAGUAUGCCCAGGCUCCACGGGGUGGGGGGCCCCAUCUUAGAAUUCUCACUUGGAAGAGUCAAGGAGGAGGCUGAGGAAGGUGAUGAUGGGGUUGGCCCGGGACUGGCCAUGCUUGUGGAAUCGAGUUGGUUCCCCUUUGAUGCUAUGGCACUAUGGCUCUUCUACACGGAUCUGCAGAAGUGAAGGGUUUCAGCAGAGCACAGCAAUGUGACCAGAAGAGACCUUGGAGGAGCCCAGGACAAGGUGUAGGGGCUUCCUCUGCAGGCCAGGACCCCAGUUCAGGCUGCCCUCCUCCAGUGAAGGGCUAGGAGGGGCUCAUGGGCUGUCUCAUUGUUGGUAGUGGGAAGAAACAGUUCAGCCGGUGGUCUUUACAGGGGUCAGAUAGUUGUUUGAAACCCAAACCUCAGAUUGUCGUCUGCGUAGACUCUCUUGGGCCAAAGGAAGUUCUUACUAGGUGGGGGGCGGGGGAGAGCACAGGUUGUAUUUUCUCAGUAGGUCUGAGGGGAACCAUAGGUGGGAGGAUGCAAGGGGGUGCAGGGGGUCUUCCUGGUGGCGUGGGUGUCUUUGUCUCGGUGUGACCAUGGAAAUUGUGGAAAUGACAGGCAGCCUGUGGCAUCCAGCUCCCUAGAAGACGAGGGUUUGUUGCAUCUGUGGAGGGACCCAGCUGAACAGCCAGGAGGUGGGUGCCACACUAGAGGCCUCAGGUGACCCCUGGGAGUGGUUGUUGGGGCUUCCAGUCCAGCCCGGGGUCCUUCAGCAGGGAGAGAGCCCCCACCCCCCCCCCCAUUGGCCUGGGGAGCCAGAUUUCACCUGUUUUGAUGGUUGGACAGAUCACAGGAACCUCUGGUCAUCGCAGGCAUCUUCCAGGAAGUUUCUGGCGGACUGCUUACAUCUUGGAACUUCUUGCAGAGACAGCUUGUUGGAGAGUCUCUCUUUUUCUUGGUGUGUUUGUCCUAAAACAUGUCUCAAGUUGGCAGUUCCCACCUCCUCUGUGUCAAGAGCUCUUUUAACAUCCUGUGCCCAGAACAGGAGUUUGUAGCUUUCCUAUUUAGAUGGCAAAUGUAAAUUUUAGAGGAUCUUUUUUUGUUUUUCUAAUUUUUUUCUCCAGGUCUUGGAUUUUUUGGUUAUCCAUUUUCAAUUUCUCAAGGAGCGUCUGCUCUUUCUCCUUCCCGAUGGGCUGGCUGUACACCAGCGCAGCCUCGUGGCCCAUGGCCUUCAUUAGGUCCUGCGUGGUUUUGGCUUCAUCUGUCAGGGGUGCGUCGAUUGGCCAGAUGCAGGGAACUCUUGCCUCCUUCACUGCUCCCUUUCCUCUUCCAACACUGGCCCUCUGGGACACAUCAUCUCACCUGGGAUUGGGAGGCUGCGUCUUUUUUCACACCAUUCCCUUUCUUCCUGAUUUGUUUGUGUUAUGGAGCCGUGACUUGCUGCUGAUGGCCUCUGAAGGCCUGUGUGACUCUCCUCUUGAUUUUCUGGUAGAAUGUGGCCUGUGCGCCUUCAUUGUGUCUCUGCUAUGACACAGUGGUGUCCCCUGUCUCCAUUUGGAUGGGAAAGAGGCUACCUUUUUUGAACCUUUGUGGGCAGUAUUUUGUUCUGGGAUCGUUUGAUCAUGAUCGAACUCAUCAGACUUCUGAUUUUCUCACCCUGGGAUUCAGUUGCUUUCUGGCUUGUGGUGCAUUGGAUGCUGGGGUUGGGGGCAUGGGGUCAGGGGUGGGGUGUGAGCCGCAGGAAAUGGCACCAGGAAGCUGGGGUAUUUACUUGCCAAUUCCAGUCUCUCCUUGAUUGAGGGAUGCUCCUCAGGUGAUAACCCUUCCGAUUGUGUGGCCUCCCUGCCUUUUGGGAUCCAUUUCUUUCCCCUUUAUACUUUUGCCUGGGGCUCUUCAGCUCUGCCAGUUAACCCAGCUGUGGUUUCAGCUGCUUAGCCUUUGAUACAAUAACCUACUUCAGAGGAGUGCCUCCUGACGUCAGUGAUCUUUUCAGGAAAGUAGAAGCCAAGAGAGGGGAGUCCGGAGCAGCAGCCUCCUUCCUUCAGGACUUAGAGAGGCUGCCUUGGGGUGAGGGGGGCACAGCUGGCACCCCUUCAGUUUCAUCUCUGUGUUUGCUGACAAUAUCCCCCCUGAGGACGCACUGCCCUGACCACACCUGUCCCAAAACCAGGCCUGCUAUGCAGGCUUUUGUGAUUAAGAGUGUAGUUUUGUGGUCAUGAAGCACCCUUCACAACUUCAGUUUGGUUUUUAAAAUUAACAUUCAGGAGCCUUGCUUUUCUUUAACUGUUAAGUUUCAUUUGCAAUUUCUGCUCUAACAAGUGUUAGCGAUUUCUUUUAUGGGGAGUUGGUGAGAUUCUGGGUCCCGCUGGGGACAGUCAGGGAUGAGAACCCAUCCCCUGCUUAUGACAAGCUAAGGGGUCACAGACUGAUGGCUCUCUUCUGCCCUGGGCUGAUGGUCAGUGAGCUCGUUUCUGAAUCCAUGUCGCAGGGGUAUGGGCUGGCUUUUGGAGUGCACAACUUGAGCAGCCACAAAGGGCCCCUUGCUUGGUUUAGUGCUCUGCUGUCGUUGCCUUGUUCUUCCUGAUCUUCUGAAGUGGGAGACCCCCUGUUUUCUUUUAGCACUGAUCAGCCCUGUAAGCCAUUUGCCCAGUUAGUCCUGAAGAAGGGCGGUUACAGACCACAGUGUGCCCCUGGAAUAUUACUGGGGGCAGUGAAGGAAGAGGGAACGGGUCAUCAGAGAAAGAGUUGUGCACAGGGGCUGGGGUUGAGGAGAGAGAGUGGAGGGUGAGCAUGGAGGGAGUGGAGGGGGAUCAAUGGGAUGAAGAGUAUGAGAGAUUAGCAUUUUGUAUGGGACUCAAAAAAGGCAAGGACACCCCUGCAAUCCAAGGGCAGGACAACCCCUGGAAGUAUUUGCUGUCUCCUCCACUAGGAGCCCGAUAUGGGCAGGUCCUUCAUGAUAUAAACUCCGGUGUGAGUGGAGCUCUCAGCCUGUGGUUAUUGCUCCAAACAGUAGUUGUCAAGUGAUGACAAACUUGAUAACUGAGCUGAGCGACAGUGAAAUCCCUUGAUAAGCAGCCAGGUCCUGAUCGGUCAGGGCCCUGAUUAAGCGGAAACCAGCUGGUGAUUUGGCGUUGAUCACUGGUAUUUCUAUUGUUGGUUUAACGUGAUGGAGCAUGUACCCUUCAGGACAUAUCCAUGGGAUUUGAGCCUGUGGCGCCGACCCCGUGGAUCUCUCUGCACCUUUUAAAGACCUUUCUUCUCUCAGCUGCUGGCCCUCCAGUCGGGAUUCUGUGUGUCUCUCCUGGGUUCUUUUUUCUCGCCCACCUCUCACUGUGGGCACCGUGGUGCUCCAACUCAUGCACCUUUUAAAGACGUCCACUUAACAGGAUGACAGACGGUGUGGUUGCUCCCUCCAGCCACUUCUGUCACUUCCUGCCUAUGUCCAUGUUAGGUACACGCUUCCCACCUGGCCAGUGUUCCCAGCCUUAUCCCUGCAACUAUACAACCUCUUUGGUCAAUGCAGGUGGUCCAUACACGAUUAAUUCGCUUGCAUUGCCUCUCUGGUAUACACCCAGUCCCACCUGCCUUCCCUCUCCUGGGAGCUGCUCCCUCCAAGGCCAGCUCUCCCCUGCUCUCUCCGUGUGUGGAUUGCUGGAGAAAGUUCUCCAGGACGAAGCACCUCUAGGAAGGUGAUGAUGCUCAGAGCCCAGGACAGGGGUCUCUGUGUAUGUCCUGGGCAGCUGCAGCUUCCUUUGGGAGGGGGCGUGGGAACCUUCAGGGCCUAGGGUGAAUUUCAGCACACUUCCUAAUCGGUUUCCUUUCUCACCUAACACAGCUUUCAGGCAAAUGUGGUCUUCCACUCUACAUUCUUAAAACUCAUUGAGAUUACCCAAAGAGCUUUUGUUUAUGUGGGUUAAAACUAUUGGUAUUUACUGCAUUUGAUAUCAGAAUGGAAACAUUUUGAAAAUUAUUGAGUCAUUUGAAAAUAGCAAUGAUGAACACAUUGUGUUGACAUAAAUAACAUUUUAUCACUAUUAUGAAAAUAGUUUUGACCUCACAGACUCCCUGUCCCACAGUAAAGGGUCAGGUUGUUCCCCAAAGUGAAAGGUCUGCCUUUUGCUUGUAUGACUUUACACUCUCUCUGUCUGGAAAUAAACUGUGCAGUGCAUUCUACUUUAGCAAAAUUCACUCAGGUUGGAUGGGCGAACUUGCCUCCUUGGUUUACCGAUUAAUACCAUUGCCUACAACAUGGAAGGCUAUUUUUGACAGCAGAGAUGCUGUGUCCACCAGAAAACUUUUUGGUGCUUUAUGUUGAAUUUAUUUGUUGUAUCCUAGAACAGACCAUUUUAUAACACAAAAAAUACAAACUCCUUAUUUGGUAAGUGACUUUUAGUAUCUUAUUAGGUUGUGCGACCGUCAGCACUGCCACUACGAUGUCAUUCUGCCUCAUUCCAGAACAUUUUCACAACGAAACCCCACACCAGUUAGCGUUCACUCCCCAACACCCUUCCUUGUCCCCAGCCACCGCCCCAGUCCCUGACAACCGUUAGUCUGCUUUUGGUAUCAGUGGAUUUGCCUGUUUCGGACAUUUCAUAUGAGUGAAACCAUAUAGCACGUGGCCUUCUGUGUGUAACUUCUUUGUGUAACGUUUUUGAGGUUAAUCCAUGUUGUAGCCCGUAUUAGUACUUGAUUCCAUUUUAUGAGUGAUUAAUAUUCCAGUGUAUGGAUAUGCCACAUUUUAUUUAUCCAUUCAUCAGUUGAUGGGCAUUUUGAUUUGUUUCCCCUUUUUGGCUAUUAUGAACAAUGCUGCCGUGGACAUUUGUGUGCAAAUAUUUAUGUGGACUACGCCUUCAAUGUUCAGUAUGCCAGUAUUUUGGUCGCUUGAUGUGAAUCGCUGACUCAUUGGAAAAGUCCCUGAUGCUGGGAAAGGUUGAAGGCAGAAGGAGAAGAGGGUGUCAGAGGAUGAGAUGGCUGGAUGGCAUCACUGAUGCAAUGGACAUGAACUUGGGCAAACUUCGGGAGAUGGUGAGGGAUCUGGAGGCCUGGCAUGCUGCAGUCCAUGGGUCACAGAGUUGAACACGACUGGGCCACUGAACAAAAACGAACAACAUGCCUUCAAUACUCUUGGGUCUGUCUACUUUUCAAUGUUAUUUAAAUGGGUAACCAGGGAUUGUUUCUCAGGCACCCACAAUCAUAUAUUAAUCAAGUGUCUAUAUCUCUUCUGAUGACUCUUUGUAGAUUUUGUCUUUUCAAAUAAUAAACAUAGUAAAAGAAGGAAACUUUCAGGAUAUCAUUUACAUGUACUGUGUUCUUUGACAUUUAUUUCUCAGAGCAGCCCUGGAAAAUCACAAAGAUUUAUUUUUGCAUCUUAUUAAAAGAGAGUUGCCAGAACAAAUUAGGUUUAUUUAAUAUAUUACUAUUUUAAGAUUUGCAUAAGACUUGUCAGAUCAGAGAGUGUUUUUGGCCUUCUUGUGGUUAUGCUUAUAUAAAUGAAAUGUUAAUGUGAGUGUCUUAGAAAUUAUAUGGUUUAUGGAAGCUCCUGGUGACUUGUUGGUGCCUCACUGCCGUAUAUUUUUACCCUUAGGGCCACGGUUCAUCUGAAGUCUCAUCUAAAGAUUGUUCUGUACUAUAGUCUGAGAGACAAGUGUACUCUCCUCCGUUCUGAUCUUAUUGGUUAGCAUAAUACUUUAACCGCAGCCAUGAAAUUUCUGUCAUCUUAGAGACGUUUUUGUUUAGUCUGGUUUAGUCUUAGUUUAGUCUUAGUCUUAGUUUGCUUAGUCUUAGUUUGCCUGAAGGCUCUGCUCUAAGCUGCAGAGUGCUUGAGUCUUCAGUUAAAAAGGAUGGUCUUAGAGCCUCGUAAUAAAAGACUGUACCAGGUACUUCAAACUGCCCAUACUUUAUAAGAAGAACAGACUCUUGGGCUUCUGAGUUGACUUCAGUUAGGCAGCUCUCAGACUAUCCCCGUGGACUGAGUUGGGAUUUCCAGGACUUUUUGGUCCAGAAGCAGCAGAAGAUGCUGCAGGGAAUCCAGAGGGGCAGGAAGGAACCGCAUGGCCCAGACUGCUGCUCCAACAGCUUGUUUACUUCUAAGGACCAAGGUCCCCUGGGGGCGAGCGGGCACACACGUUGGAGCUUUACUGACCGUCUGCAUCGAAGUGCUUCCAGAUCUCCAGGAACUGGGUCGCGGUCAGCUCGGCCAGGUGCAGGUAAGGUGGC